CCAAAUNNCUACGAGCCCCGCUUAAAACCCAAAGGAUUUGACGGUGUUCCACCCAACUAGAGGAGCCUGUUCUAUAAUCGACAAUCCACGAUCUACCUAACCAUUUUUUGCUACUCAGCCUGUAUACCUCCGUCGUAAGCUUAUCAUUUGAAUGAGAAAAAGUAAGCACAAGGACUAAAAGCCAAAACGUCAGGUCAAGGUGCAGCUUAUAAAAUGGAAGAAAUGAGCUACAAUUUCUAAUUUAGAACACACGAAUUACUGCAUGAAACAAAGUCAUGAAGGUGGAUUUAGCAGUAAGUAGGAAUAGAGAGCCUUACUUAAUUUGGCCCUGGAACGUGUACAAACCGCCCGUCACCCUCUUCAAUAGCUUUUAACUAGNNNCUAACCUAUCUGCCGCGCCUUAGAAGAGGCAAGUCGUAACAAGGUAAG
rnacentral:rRNA from 1 species